UCAGAAAGCAUUGGUCCGUUAAGCAUCUGU
rnacentral:piRNA from 1 species